GAUACCUUUGGCCUACCUAGUGUCCUCUUAGAAAUAUUAGGAGGUUGCAUUUCCCCCAUACCACAUUUUGGCCAUAGCUUAAGACCAUUAAUUGGGUUAACAAUUGGGUCAUAUAUUUUUAGGUAAGUAUCUUUUUUGAAAAAAUCAUUCACAUAAGCCUCAGGCUCUUCUCUAUUAUCCCAAAUUACUGCCACAGCAUGUGCAU
rnacentral:lncRNA from 1 species